rnacentral:rRNA from 1 species
AUCGGACUAGAAUAUAGCUGGUUUUCUGCGAAAUUUGUAUUAGCAAAGGGUUUAUCUUUAAAUAAGAGGUAGGUAUAGCACUGGAUAUUCAUUAAAAAUAAAGAGGGAGUAUUAUCGUACUUAUCUCGGAUAUCUAACCUCAGAAUGACUUCUUAAAUCGGAUAAAUUCUGGGACUUUUUGCGAGAAGGUGGAAAGUCGAGAGGGAAACAGCCCAGAACAAUACUUAAAGCUCCUUAAUAAAUAUUUAU